ACAGUGGACGCGAGCAUCUGUGGCCAAGUUUUUAAGGGCGCACGGUGGAUGCCUUGGCACCAGGAACCGAUGAAGGACGUGGGAGGCCGCGAUAGUCCCCGGGGAGUCGUCAACCAGGCUUUGAUCCGGGGGUUUCCGAAUGGGGAAACCCGGCAGUCGUCAUGGGCUGUCACCCGCUGCUGAACACAUAGGCAGUGUGGAGGGAACGCGGGGAAGUGAAACAUCUCAGUACCCGCAGGAAGAGAAAACAACCGUGAUUCCGGGAGUAGUGGCGAGCGAAACCGGAUGAGGCCAAACCAGUCACGUGUGAUACCCGGCAGGGGUUGCGUGGUUGGGGUUGUGGGAUCUCUUUUCCGCAGUCUGCCGGCUGUGGGACGAGUCAGAAACCGUUGAUGUAGGCGAAGGACAUGCGAAAGGUCCGGCGUAGAGGGUAAGACCCCCGUAGCUGAAACAUCAGCGGCUCGUUUAAGA
rnacentral:rRNA from 1 species